GUGUCAGCAGCCGCGGUAAAACGUAGGAGACAAACGUUAUCCGGAGUUACUGGGCGUAAAGGGCGUGCAGGUGGUCUGUUAAGUCUGGCGUGAAAGCUCUCGGCUAAACCGGGAGAGGUCGUUGGAUACUGGCGGACUAGAGGACGGUAGAGGUGUGUGGAAUUCCGGGUGUAGUGGUGAAAUGCGUAGAGAUCCGGAGGAACACCAGUGGCGAAGGCGACACACUGGGCCGUACCUGACACUAAGACGCGACAGCAUGGGGAGCGAACGGGAUUAGAAACCCCCGUAGUCC
rnacentral:rRNA from 1 species